rnacentral:misc_RNA from 1 species
UCCCCGUUAUCCGAGGCAGUUUCCUAAGAGUGCCGCCCUUUCAGGCAGGCGACAUAGGAUAAGGGUUGCGCUCGUUGCGGGACUUAACCCAACAUCUCACGACACGAGCUGACGACAGCCAUGCAGCACCUCUAUCGGCCUCCGACUUUACGGUCCGUCCCGACUUUCAUCAGGACUACUUCCGACAGUUCAAGCCCAGGUAAGGUUCUUCGCGUUGCGUCGAAUUAAACCACAUGCUCCACCGCUUGUGCGGGCCCCCGUCAAUUCCUUUGAGUUUCACCGUUGCCGGCGUACUCCCCAGGUGGAUUACUUAGCGCUUUCGCUUGGCCGCGUACUGUAUAUCGCACACAGCGAGUAAUCAACGUUUACAGUGUGGACUAC